GGAAUUUUGGGCAAUGGGCGAAAGCCUGACCCAGCAACGCCGCGUGAAGGAUGAAAUCCCUCGGGAUGUAAACUUCGCAAGAACGGGAAGAAUAAGUAAGAGUUAAUAUCUCUUACGAUGACGGUACUGUUUGUAAGCUCCGGCUAACUCCGUGCCAGCAGCCGCGGUAAUACGGGGGGAGCAAGCGUUGUUCGGAUUUACUGGGCGUAAAGGGCGCGUAGGCGGUCAGCACAAGUCAGUUGUGAAAUCUCCGAGCUUAACUCGAAAAGGUCAACUGAUACUGUGCGACUAGAGUGCAGAAGGGGCAACUGGAAUUCUCGGUGUAGCGGUGAAAUGCGUAGAUAUCGAGAGGAACACCUGCGGCGAAGGCGGGUUGCUGGGCUGACACUGACGCUGAGGCGCGAAAGCUAGGGGAGCGAA
rnacentral:rRNA from 1 species